GUACACUCCUGCGGGAGGCAGCAGUGGGGAAUUUUGGACAAUGGGCGCAAGCCUGAUCCAGCCAUGCCGCGUGCGGGAAGAAGGCCUUCGGGUUGUAAACCGCUUUUGUCAGGGAAGAAAAGGUUCUGGCUAAUACCUGGGACUCAUGACGGUACCUGAAGAAUAAGCACCGGCUAACUACGUGCCAGCAGCCGCGGUAAUACGUAGGGUGCAAGCGUUAAUCGGAAUUACUGGGCGUAAAGCGUGCGCAGGCGGUUAUGCAAGACAGAGGUGAAAUCCCCGGGCUCAACCUGGGAACUGCCUUUGUGACUGCAUGGCUAGAGUACGGUAGAGGGGGAUGGAAUUCCGCGUGUAGCAGUGAAAUGCGUAGAUAUGCGGAGGAACACCGAUGGCGAAGGCAAUCCCCUGGACCUGUACUGACGCUCAUGCACGAAAGCGUGGGGAGCAAACAGGAUUAGAAACCCCAGUAGUCCC
rnacentral:rRNA from 1 species